rnacentral:rRNA from 1 species
CCUACGGGAGGCAGCAGUGAGGAAUAUUGGUCAAUGGACGAGAGUCUGAACCAGCCAAGUAGCGUGAAGGAUGACUGCCCUAUGGGUUGUAAACUUCUUUUAUAUGGGAAUAAAAUGUUCCACGUGUGGGAUUUUGUAUGUACCAUAUGAAUAAGGAUCGGCUAACUCCGUGCCAGCAGCCGCGGUAAUACGGAGGAUCCGAGCGUUAUCCGGAUUUAUUGGGUUUAAAGGGAGCGUAGGUGGAUUGUUAAGUCAGUUGUGAAAGUUUGCGGCUCAACCGUAAAAUUGCAGUUGAAACUGACAGUGUUAAAUACAGAAGAGGGGGGCGGAAUUCGGGGUGUAGCGGUAAAAUGCUUAGAUAUCACGAAGAAUUCCGAUUGCGAGGGCAGCUCACUGGACUGCAACUGACACUGAGGCUCGAAAGUGUGGGUAUCAAACAGGAUUGGAUCCCCAAGUAGUC